AAUCAACGCUGGCGGCGUGCCUAACACAUGCAAGUCGAACGAGAAAGUGGAGCAAUCCAUGAGUAAAGUGGCGCGCGGGUGAGUAACACGUGACUAACCUACCCUUGAGUGGGGGAUAACCUAGGGAAACCUGGGCUAAUACCGCAUAAUACCUACGGGUCAAAGGAGCAAUUCGCUUUGGGAGGGGUCGCGGCCGAUUAGUUAGUUGGCAGGGUAAUGGCCUACCAAGACGAUGAUCGGUANCCGGCCUGAGAGGGCGCACGGACACACUGGAACUGAAACACGGUCCAGACUCCUACGGGAGGCAGCAGUGGGGAAUUUUGCGCAAUGGGGGAAACCCUGACGCAGCAACGCCGCGUGGAGGAUGAAGUCCCUUGGGACGUAAACUCCUUCCGAUCGGGACGAUAAUGACGGUACCGGAAGAAGAAGCCCCGGCUAACUUCGUGCCA
rnacentral:rRNA from 1 species